GAUGAACGCUGGCGGCGUGCCUAAUACAUGCAAGUCGAACGAGAUAGAUGAGAGCUUGCUCUUUGAAGUCUAGUGGCGAACGGGUGAGUAACACGUAGGUAACCUGCCUUUCAGUUUGGGAUACCCAGGGGAAACUUUGGCUAAUACCAAAUUAUUACAUUCAAGGCAUCUUGAGUGUCUAAAAGGGGCCUCUAAAGCCUCGCUGAUUGAUGGACCUGCGGCGCAUUAGUUAGUUGGUGAGAUAACAGCCCACCAAGACGAGGAUGCGUAGCCGACCUGAGAGGGUGAACGGCCACACUGGAACUGAGACACGGUCCAGACUCC
rnacentral:rRNA from 1 species